rnacentral:rRNA from 1 species
CCCUGGUAGUCCACGCCGUAAACGAUGAGUGCUAAGUGUUGGAGGGUUUCCGCCCUUCAGUGCUGCAGCAAACGCAUUAAGCACUCCGCCUGGGGAGUACGACCGCAAGGUUGAAACUCAAAGGAAUUGACGGGGGCCCGCACAAGCGGUGGAGCAUGUGGUUUAAUUCGAAGCAACGCGAAGAACCUUACCAGGUCUUGACAUCCUUUGACCACUCUAGAGAUAGAGCUUUCCCUUCGGGGACAAAGUGACAGGUGGUGCAUGGUUGUCGUCAGCUCGUGUCGUGAGAUGUUGGGUUAAGUCCCGCAACGAGCGCAACCCUUAUUGUUAGUUGCCAUCAUUUAGUUGGGCACUCUAGCGAGACUGCCGGUGACAAACCGGAGGAAGGUGGGGAUGACGUCAAAUCAUCAUGCCCCUUAUGACCUGGGCUACACACGUGCUACAAUGGGAAGUACAACGAGUCGCUAGACCGCGAGGUCAUGCAAAUCUCUUAAAGCUUCUCUCAGUUCGGAUUGCAGGCUGCAACUCGCCUGCAUGAAGCCGGAAUCGCUAGUAAUCGCGGAUCAGCACGCCGCGGUGAAUACGUUCCCGGGCCUUGUACACACCGCCCGUCACACCACGAGAGUUUGUAACACCCGAAGUCGGUGAGGUAACCUUUUUGGAGCCAGCCGCCUAAGGUGGGAUAGAUGAUUGGGGUGAAGUCGUAACAAGGUAGCCGUAUCGGAAGGGGCGGCUG